GUAGACUGAUCCGAGCGCACUGCGACGGCAGAGUUUUUCUUUUGUAUAUUUCGCGAAUCGUUCAGGAGUGUUUGGAGUCAUCCAGCGAGGCCUUCUGAAUACUGUUGACCGCAGCGCCGUCGUUUUCUGCGGCGUAUGGCUGUUCAAACAGCAGCCGCGACGAGCAUCGCUUCCCCAAAGGGAAAAUCCUUGCAGCGCGAUGGAUUGCGGCAGUAAAGAAAAAUAAUUUUAAACCUACGAUCCACAGCAUGAUCUGCUCAGACCACUUCCGCGACGACAAAUAUUGCUGGAGUCUGUCGAUAAUGAGGUCAAUAGGAAUUCCCGUCAAGUGUGCCCGAAUGAUACCUGGCGCAGUCCCUUCAGUAUUCGUUCACAGAAGGAAUGCGUCGCCGCCGCUGCCGAGAGCAGCUUUCGCCAAAAGGAAAAAAAGGAGAUUCCAAAUGAGGUGUUGGGAACCGGCCAGAAAGGAUCGCGUGAAGGAAGUGAUACCUCUGCCGAUGCAGCUGAGGAUUGUGGCUGCCCUAAUGCAGUGUACAUCGUUGAAGUUGUCGUCCCCUGCUAUAGACUCGAUACUCCGGGAAACACUGUGCAAUAGACAGGCAGCUGAAAAGACCACUCAAGGACUGGUGCAGAUAGGCAGCAAAUCUGUGCAAGCAGGCCUGAAGAAAAGCACCACGUCAUGCUCUGUUCAAUCUCAGCCACAUUGCGCUUGGUGGCCGUGCAGCAGAUGUGCAGACUCAAGUGAACAUGGUGCUUCAAGUGCCGUGCAGUUGUGUAAACAGUGAAAUGGUUGACAGUGAGCCUGCGCCUGACCAGGACAUCGGUGAUGACUACAGCACUUUUGACGACCAGGGCAAGUAUAAUGUAAAACUAUUCCAAUCUGUUUUUAUUUCAAAGCCACCGUUAGCCCUCCGUGAUAGGCCAGAAUGGUUAAGUCCUGCCUAUGGGUGGGCACCAUGCCCAAAUUGGCUGAGCCCAAGCCAUCUUGCACUAUCAUGGAGCACUAAUGGCCAAUUUAGAAUAAAAGCAGAUUGGAAUAGUCUUACGUUAUACUGGCCCAGAGCAAUGAGUAAGCUAACAUUUUCACACUUCUUUCCAUCAGUGAAUUUGAUCGUUACUGGGCUUAGCAUUCAUUAACAUCGAGGCACCUUACCCCUGAGCAUCAAAAGUAAAAAAGCUCCCUAAUGCGAAAUUUGAGCGCAGCUCUAUAUUUGUUUUCAUUUCACUAUAUAUUGGCUAGUGCCGACAAUCUGUCUCGUGCGGCACGUUUCAAAUGGAGCUAAUUGUGGCACAACUGCCUUGCUAAUCGGAAGAUUGUGAGAGGCAGUGCGUGAGUGAUGCGUGUGCGCGAUUCACAGCAGCCGCCACAGACAGACCUCUGCUCAUGCAGCACUUUGUUUCCAUAUAAUAUUGGUGCGUACACUCUCCGCAUGCCUUACGAAUGGCAUCAUCGGCGAACAGACUGCAAGCAGUACUCUGGUGCCAUGUUGCAGCGGUCGUCGCUGCAGAACUCGUCUUGCAUGGCACUACGCCUUUCUUCUCAUGCUUUUUCCAUACGCUCCCUCCUCCGCUUUCCACCUCACGGUUCCGCUGUACCCUCCUGAGGGACGGCGAUGCUCAACGCAAAAACGGGCACCUAAGAGCUGUGCUCUAAACAAUAUUGGUUGAGUUGGCUUCCCCUCUAAUCUUUUGGUAUUGUUCUGUGGUUUCUCCAGGAACACAAUGUGCCUUUGUGGAAAGGGCUAGCACCAACCACCAGCAAGGCAGUCAAGUGAUUUUGGUGCAGGAGGAGCACUUAAGAAAGCUAGUGCAAGCCUGUCGGACCUGCCUCUCACCGUGCAAGCAAGUAGACAUCCUGCGCAAUGGAACGGUGAUGUAUCUCUGAGAAACUUCUUACCACAGCAAAGCACUCUGGCUGUACAGAACUUGGCCCAUGAUGAAGUCAACAGAAAAUCAUCUGUACUGGUCAGCUGCUUCUAGUGUAGGCCACAAGGGGCUCGUUGUGCCAAAGUGGCUUUCUCUGCUAAGCCAUGUCAAGGAUAUUCAUGCUCAUGAAGGUGAUCCGUUUCCUUCUUAUCUUCGUGGAGGCAUUGAACCAAGGGGAUGGCUGGAUGGAGACUCCAAGGCCUUGAAAACACCGAAGGACAUAGCCAGAGCAAGGCCCCUGCUUGUUGACAUGCCGCAGCUUUCAACAUCAUUUGAAACAUAAGGCAUGGAAGCAUUUCCCAGCCUGCUGCACCACUUUGCCCUGAAGUUUUGCCAAUAUUCUUAUGAAGGAAUGAAGGCCAGCAAUUGAAUGGAACCAACUUUCUGCUGAUAUAGCAUCUUUUGAGUCAUGGAGAACGGGGUGGCAAAAAUCGAGCCACAGUACCCCGACGAGGUGGAAGUCGUCAACCACGAGGCCGCGCCGCAACAGCUUGAGCCCAUGCCCCCUGCCACUUGGGUCCAUGCCAUUUGAGCCCAUGCAUCAGGCUCCCUGAGCCCGUCCCCGGAAGGCACCGCGCAAGCGCAAGGCCACCGGCGGUUCAGGCCGGUACAGGGUUGCAGCAGCCGAUGCACCGCCUGCGGCUGCAGCUCCCACGGCGGCUGUGGCGGCGCCCAGGCAGCGCUUUCCGGACGUCGAAGAUUUUUUUCUGUACGAGUGUGGUUGCGGCUCUGAAGCAACUGGGACCCGCUCAGCGCCACGCAGCCAAGAUGAGCCUGCUGCAGUAUGUUCGAAUUCGGCGAAUGUCCCGUCCUGGUCUACGAGUUCAACGGUGCACAGCC